rnacentral:rRNA from 1 species
UGAGCCUCAAAACCGCCAUAUUAUUUGUCUGGCUAAUCGUCGGUGCACUUUCGUGUCGGCUGGUUAACAUCAAUUUCAAAUGUCAUAAAAAGGCUGGAGGGAUGUGGCUCCUUCGGGAGUGUUAUAACCUUUAGCGGAAUGUGGUGUUUGGGAUUGAGGAUUGCAACGAAUACCUUUAGGGCUGUUCCACCUGGUCUCUCUUUGGCAUCUUGGCGGCGACAGCUUGCUGACGUUGUUAAGAGUUGACAUUGAACAGGUUAGAGUGUGGGCAAA